UCAGAAACAUUCCAUCAGUCAUCACCUAACAGUUCUGAGUGCUACAUGAAGAGCUAAGUAAACAUUUUUAGGAUAAAAAAAUUAAUACAUGUUUCAUUUUCAAAAAGUACUUGUGUAGUUGAAUCUACUUGCAAGAGAAUUUUCUAGACAAACUCUGCCUGAAAUCAGCUGGCCACACUGCAGUCUGAGGGCUCAGAACAACCAGUUUUUGUGCCUUUCACCUUCUCCUUACUUCUGUUCUAGGCUGGGCUGACCUCACCCGGUUAAACGAUCACUCAGAUGGAGGCCUGGCAAUGGGACUCCUAUCAGACCCUGCAAGCCUGCCAGGUCUCCAGCAUUUAAGAGAUGAUCCAGCUCACAACACUUGGGUUUAGAAGCUCCUGCAGAUGGUGGGAAAAGUGAAGAGUACAUCCACUUGAAAGAGAAUUCAUUUGGGCUGACUUCUUGGACCUGGGAGACUUCUCUGAGUCCAUUUGCAAAACCCUUCAGAAGAUCCAAGAAAGAGAUUGGCCUCAAGAAGAAAACUUGAACAUAAAAUAAUUACAAACUUUUUCUCAAAGUGCAAUUGGCAAUUUUGUAUCCCUCUUUUGGACUCUAUUCAGAUUCUACCCUAGAUUCCUCCCUCUGGGUUGGAGAAGUAAGUGCUCUUGAGAGGACUGGCAAAAGUUUCACCUCCAGAAGCAGCAGAUGUGCUGUUUUCCAGGGAACAAUUCUACUUUGGUAAGUUCCUGUGACUGACCAUUCCAGGUCUGUUCUCACCCACCUAUCCUCUGGAGGCUCAUUUUGAUCAUAGGCAGACGUAGGAGCAGUAGAUAUGACUGUGGCACUGAAAGGGGUAUAUUUUGGGUAUUAGACCCGAGUCUCCUAAGUGUAGUGGUCAAUCUGUGCCAGAGAGAGAGGAGCCUGGGGCUGGUCCUGUGCAAAUGGGCAGUGGGGUCAUUUUCAAUGGACCUAGGCAAUAUCUUUCUCCUCUAUGAUUUACAUGAGUUCCACAUUGUAUUUCUGAGCAUUGAGUUUUUGGAUUUGAUAUUGAAAACAUAUAGUCAGUUGGUGUCAGGGCAAGGCAGAAGAACUAAAGUCAUGAAGUUUCCUAGUGUUCUUCAUAAUCCUCAUUUAACCCAGGCUUUUACCUCUCUUAUUCUCUUCUCCAGUGGAUAAAUUAGAGUCCCCAGUUCAUUGUAAAUUCUCAGCUAUGAUAUCAAUUCCUCAUGCUGUGUGACACUUUAGUUCAACUUUAGCAUGUAAAGUUUUAACAAACAAACCAUCCCAUCAACAUCCAGGUAUUUCAGGCAUUUGGCACCACUGCAUGUGGAUACUGCUCACUUUGUGUGUGUGUGCACAUGCACAUGAAUCUCAUGAAUUAAGUUCUUUAUUCCCUCUUAUAUAGGUGCUUUACUCAAAUAUUCAGACACAAUUUCUUUCCAUUUCCACUGAAAAUAGAAAGUAGAAGUUAUCUUUAUAAAUAAUGCUUUUCAUUUCUCUAACUUUCAACUAUCUGCCACUGUGUACACAUUUCACGUGUAAAAUUCCUUUCUUCCCCAACUAGACUAUAGGCACAAAAAUGGUCCUUUUUUAUUUCAUUUCACCUGAGUUAAUAGCACAUUGUGGACCCCACACAAACACUGUGGAUAAGGGUGGGUGAGAAAGUGAGUGAUGGUCAGUUCCCAGCCACAUCUGUCCACUCAUGCGGAUAAGCAAGGAAUAGUAGCUUAUGCUUUUGUUGUUUAAUCCUAAUCCACUUCCUCAAGAUCCAAGAUCCAGAGAGGGACUCACAUCCCUGUAGUACAGAAGUAAAAAUUAGCUUUUAGUCUUCUAUGGUAUUAUCUCUGCUGUCAGUGUCCUUAUUUUCCUGUGUGUAAUUAUACUUCUCAUAGUUGCUUCAGGUAGCCUGAACAGUUGAUCAACAUUUCAAGCAUUCAGGGGCUCCUGAGUUCAGGACAACUGCACUUGCAAUUGUCUGGAAAGCCUGUUUCACCUGCACAACACACACAGCUAAGGCCAUGCUGCCCAGAGAAAGGCUAUGAGGCCUCCCUUCCCUUUUGCCCAAAGUGAAAAUGAGCUGGCUCCACUCUGCUUUUUGAAGUUUGGGUAGGGGAUCAAGUUUCAAGUACAACAGAGAUUGCAGGGAAAGGCUCAGGUAAAUCUAAAUAAUCCUUAGCAGUUCCUCUACCUGAUGCUAAUAGUAUUUUCACUCAUCUAUAGAAGAAAUUACUUUGCUUAGCUCUUAAAUAUUUUAAGACUUCCCUCUACAGCUAUACCUCUCACUCUCUGCCCUUCUUAGAGCAGGAGAAGGGGCCAAUAUUAAAUGUGAUGUGCAGAAUAGUUCUUACAAGCCUAGGUGUUGUCCUUGAGCAUGUGGCCUUCUAAUUCUUGGGAUUGGAAGAUAUCAAGAGGGAACCCAGCAUAUGGGGGUGGGGGGAUUUGUUAUGACUGUUCUGGAGUCUCAGCAAAUCUCCAUUUUUGGAUGUUCUUUAGUUCUCCAAAGGGGAAACCAUAAUUAUAAAGGUGUGUCAGGUUCAACCCUCACCAGUUAGACAUGAAUAAGUAGGUCCUUUAAGAUAUUUAGUAGGUCCAACAGACAUGUGUCACCUGCAAUUCUGGGCUCCAAGAGUGAGAGGAGACUCGCUGGAUAUAUCUUUUAUAUGCAUCCAUAUUCUUUCUACACAAAUAGUUUUGGUCACAAAUUUGCCGUCACAUUACAUUACUACCCUUUGAUUGAGAUAUAUACAAUAUCUACUAGGAAGGACAGGACCCAGGUGAAGAGUGAGAUUAGCCACAUAUAUGUCUGAGGUUAUCGGGUAUUUGAAAGGAUUUUCCUGAGGGUCUCACACAUCAGAUGAAAAGGAUUAUUAUGGGAAAUGCAUCUUUAUUUUCAUAUAAUAAACUCUACCAUUGAAUUUGCUACUGUGCAUGACCAUUAUUUUAGUAAAAAUAAAUCUAUGAAAGACAAUUUAAAUGAGGUUACACACGAGGCAAUCACUGAAGUGAAGUGAUUGAGCAUUAAAUUUGGUCUUAAAGAGGUUGGUAAAGAUAAAAGAAGAGCCUGAGCCAAGGCGAAUUUUAUAUCUAGUCUAGAAGUCCUGGCAAUGCCCACAUUUACAAAGGCAAGAGAUACCUGCCUGGCUAUAACCUGGGACAGAGUUUGAGGUUCUGUUUUACCUUAACCUCAAAUCCCAGUCUGGGGUACUAACUUUUUGUCCUUUCUUCUUCUGACUUCUAGUGCCCUCUACUGCUCACAGCUAUUGAAUCAGUCUUCUUCCUCUACAACCCCUAACUAAUACAAAGCCUUUUGAUUUGACCUCCAGUUUUGACAAGUUUUUUUAAAAUACCCAAGAUAGAAAGCAGUACCCUCAUCAUUUUGAUUCUAUUGCAUCUGGAGGAGGGGGACAUUCAGGACAGUUUCUGCAGUCAGUGAUGCAUUGAGAGACAUUCAGAAUGCCCCACUGAAUGACAGGAGAGAGUGAGGCAGAGACGUCCAGUUUUAUCAAUGCCCUGAGGGUUGUGGUAAAAGAAAAAGAAGAUGUAAUUGCCACUGAGACAGUGGAUAUAACCAUGGGAGAAUUCCAUAUGAACACCCAAAGUUUCCUAAUGUGAUAAUAUGGGAAAUGGCUGGGACUGGAACACUAACUUCCAAGCACAAAAGUAGCCAAAAAAAUUACAUUUGGUGAAUAUGACUUUUUCCUUUUCAUCUCUACCAUACGCUUUAGAGGAAAUGAUGCACAACUGGCUAAAAUCAUUGCAAAAAUGAAGAUUUUCUACAUUGUUUGAACAAAAAUUCACAGGGACAUAUACAAUGAGAAGGUCAUAUACAAUGUCCUUCCAUCAGAACAAGUUCCUACAAGAGAUCUGAGAUGGGGCUGGGGAUGUGGCUCAAGCGGUAGCGCGCUCGCCUGGCAUGCAUGCAGCCCGGGUUCGAUCCUCAGCACCACAUACAAACAAUGAUGUUGUAUCUGCCGAAAACUAAAAAAUAAAUAUUAAAAAAUUCUCUCUCUCUCUUUAAAAAAAGAAAAAAGAGAUCUGAGAUGACUGAUACAGAUGCAAAAGGAUAAUGUGAAUGGUGCUCGAGUCUUCUUAGUCUCCAGCAUUCAUGUGUCUGACUAUGACUUCCCCCAAGCUGGAGACCUCCCUUUUGAGAGAGCUUCCAACUCACGACGUCACUUCUUGCAAUGCCUGCAUAGUGUUACUGAGGCCACCAUUGACCUGAAAAGGGAGUCCCUGAAACAGAAUUCGUGACUGGAAACUUCAAACACUGGAGCAUCAGCCACCACCCCUUUUGUGGGAAUCAUCAGUAAUAAUGAUGGAGAAGCUGGAGGAGACCUUAAUUCUCUACAGGUCUUACUUUGGGCUGGAUGAUGCAUCACUGGAAAAACACAGCCAAGGGUGUGGUGUGCAUGUGUCAGGACAAGAAUUUAAAGCAAACACUGUGUUGAGGGGAGAGUCUUUAGAGGAAAAAUGUUUAAGUGUAUUGAAAAAGUUUAUUGUCAUGUAUAUCUAAAAAUAACAAAUUUAAAAAGUGAAAAAUCUGUACACAAAUCAAUUGGGACUGAAUGGAUUAGCUUCUCUUUCAGGUCAUUCAUUUUCCUGAAAUAUUUGGCAAUAGUUUAAAGACUGCCGCUUACUGAUAAGAAAGCUAGCAUAGCAAUUCAGAGUCCUCAUUGUACAAGGCUCAAUAAUCUAGCAAACCCUGUACAUGAUGUUUAGUACCAAGUGUAUGAGUUCUGAGAUAUAAAUACAUGAACUUGGAUCUCAACUCUGCUAACUAGCUAAGUGAUGUUACCUAAAAUAAUUCUCUAAUUCUUUUUAUCUCUGUAUUAAUGGGACUAUCAGAUUCUAAUUGAGUUAUUUGGAAAAUAAUCAAGAUAAUAAAUGGCAUGCCUUAACCAAAAAAAAAAAAAUCUAUCAUCGAGAAAGUUUGCUCAAUCACUAGAUGACUCAUUGCCAUUAGACUUGACUUUAGAAAGACCUUCUGUUUGAAAAAUUGUUUCCUUGGUACCAUGGCAAGAGAUGCCAAAUUUCUUCUUUAAAAAAGAAGAGAUUUCCACCAGGCAUAGUGAUACAUGCCUAUAAUCUCAGGAACUUGGGAGUCUGAAGCAGAAGGAUUACACCUUCAAGGUCAGCACUAGCAAUUGGCAAGACCCACAACAACUUAAUGAGAUCCUAUCUCAAAAACAAACAAAAAAAAAGCAAAAAAGGACUUGGGAAUGUAGCUCUUUGGUAAAGCACCUCUGGGUUCAAUCCCCAGUGUCAAAAAGAAGAGCUUUUCACAGAAGAGGUGGGCUCCAUGCAGGUUUAACACCAUUGGUUAUUGAAGGAAAGUGGGAACAGUGAGGCACCUGAUGGUCCCUCAUCAUGUGCCCAUCUCAUGGUACUUUUCUCUUCUUCCUGACCUUAUCAUACUAUUUGACAAGACUUUAAAACUUAGAAAUGAGUAAGACAUCAAGUCAGAAGUGAAAAAGAAUAUGUAGACCUGAGAGAAAGCUUUCAUUUCAUUGAUUGUAACACAGAUGAGUGUCUGGCCAAAAGUAUAGUCUGUGAAUUUUCCAGAUUGGGACUUGGAAGUUAUGUGUGUACCUUUAACCACUGAUUCAGGUGACUGUAUACAUGGGUAUGCCUUGUGAUGGAAAGUUGCAAUGACUUGCAGAUUUCUAAAAAGAGACACCCCCUCCAAGUCCAUUGGUUCACCCUUUGGGUCCUGCACACACUGUUUGUGCCAGAGACUCUCCCCAAACCCCUCCACUUCUUUAUCCCCAUCUCUCAAGCCUGAGCUAGAGGACGAAUCACCAGGGCAGCCUUCCCUGGCAUCAACCACCAGUCCUGAAAGAAGAAGCAAAUGACCACUAUGAAGCUCCCUGUCAUUGCUCCUAUAGCUUCCUCUAUAGACCAUUUAGACCAUUAGACCAUUUCUUUCUACCACCACUUAUCUGCAAUUCUUCAUUAAUAUCUGUCUUCCUCACUAGGCUUCUUUACUCACUCAAAUCUUGCUUUCUUAACUACUCUCUCCCCUUCACUAACUUGGCACCUCAAACACAGUAGUUCAAGAAAUAUUCACUCACAGACAGCUAAAAUUUUGACAAUGUGAUUUUCAUUUUCAUCAUUUCCAUAUAUUUGCUCCAUGACUGUGAGUGGUCUGUGCUUCCUCAGGGAUGCUAAGUUCUCUCAUCUAUAAAAUGGGUACAUAUGUGGCCUCUAGGGUUAAGGAGCACAGUAAUAUGAUGGCCUAGGUGACUCUGAGCUGUACACUCUCAAGGGAGCCAUAAUAUCCCUGUAAACAGGGCUACACUUCCUGAAGAGUGGUCGAAAGGAUUUCAGAGCAAGGUAUCUAUUUGAAAUCUCCCAGACUCCAAAUUAGAGCAAAGUCAUUUUCUCUUUAUGAAGAUAGAAUGAUUCCAAGCACAGUCCAUUUAGUUGCAUGUAACAGUCACCCAAAGGCUUCUCUCAAACCUUCCUAUCUGCUGUCUUUCUUGACAAUCUGCUCAAUAGAAGUAAGUAUAGUGUAAUCUCACUGCAAAAAAAAAUAAAAAGUGUUUCCUUAAAAGUUUACUCUUUCAGGGGCUGGGGUUGUGGCUCAGCGGUAGAGCACUCGCCUAGCAUGGGUGAGGCCCUGGGUUCGAUCCUCAGCACCACAUAAAAGUAAAUUAAUUAAUUAAAGGUAUUGUAUACAACUACAACUAAAAAAUAAAUAUUAAAAAAAAAAGUUUAUCCAUUCAGCCAGAUGCAGUGGUACAUGCUUGUAAUACCAACAGUCUGAGAAAUAUGACAUUCACAAGUUCAAAGCCAGCCUCACCAACUUAGCAAGACCCUGUCUCAAAAAAAUAUAUAUAAAAAGGGGCUAGAGAUGUGGCUCUGUGGUUAAGUGCCCUAAAUUCAAUCCCUGGUACCAAAAAAAGAAAAAAAGUUUAACCAUUCAUAUUCAAACUGAUACUCAUCAGGGGAUUAUUUCUAAUUCUAAGUUUUUAUUCAGUUACUGAGAUUUUACCUUCUAGUAGGACAGAUAGUUUAAAAAAUAGCUAAACAACACAUACGUUAUUUUUUAAGGAAACUGUGUUAUGAUUAUUUUUUUCCAACCUUAUAUUUUACUUAGUUCCUGGAACCAAUCUCAAACACUAAUUUGUUGAAUUAUCACUCUAGCUUUGUAUUCUUUCCAGGAAGAGAAAAUGUUCAAUGUAGGCUCCAAAGGGUUUUGAUGUAACUCUAGGAGAAAAAAAAUACAUAAGGUACUUCACUAAUGGCCAGUGCACUGUGUGGAUAUAAGGCCUUAGGAAUAGUGAUACCCCAAAUCUGUCCUGUUUUCCUCCUGCCUACACUCAGUGGAAAAGAGCAAUUUUACAAUAUAGAAAGAACCAGAGCACAGAAAACAGCUCAUCCCCAUCACUCCAUCCAGAUUGAUGUACAACAGGCAUCUUAGAAUAGGGGAAGAGAUAUCAGUUACCCUUGGCAACAGUGAUGGAGUACACACAAUAAGGAAGGAAGAUCAAGAAAUGGAAAUUCACAUGGAGUAUCCUGUCCAUACUGCCUUUCAAAGCAAAUGGAAGACCAUUCUCUGGUCCUGCAGAUAUCCAAGCUUUCUCUCCCUGUCCUUUAGGGAUGUGUAUUCAAACAUAAAUCAGCCUUUUCUAGGCAACACUGCAAAACAAGAAAAAAUCUCACUUGCCAAAUGCAACUAUCCCAUUGCUAAUGUCACUGGGGCCUAUUCCACUCUUUCACUUUGCUCUUAAGUUCUCUACCAUUCCACCAAAUCUCAUAGCCAAUGCAAGAUCCAUAACCAAGACAAUGAGCAGCAGUAGGGCAGUACAGACUGCAGGGCAGGUAGGAUACUGGAGGGCAUCUACUCCGAGAAUACAACUAUAAGCAAUUAUUCCCUGACCAUGACCAUCACCUCCCAGCUCCACAGCACUCUGCCCAAAGUCACUCAACAUGAGAAGUUCUAGAGUGUGAUGCUGGGCAGAAAAUUUUACUUCCUCAGGCACUCUCCCUAGUUGGGGAAACAACUGGGUAUGUUACUUCUACAAUAAGGUACUGAUAAGCAUAGCUUUGUCAUGCUAAGAUCUACCCUACCCUGCACCCCACUGUCUCCAGGAAUCCCUGUCAGUGAUACAACCCUCCCCAGGACAUGUAGUUCACAGGGAGGCCUACAUUUAACUUGCCUAUAGCCCACCCUCUGGAGGGCUGUGUGGUUUCCAACUGCCCUACUGUCCUCAGAGUCUCCAGCUUUCCACCUUCACAGGUGUUGGGUUAAACAUUAAUCAGUGCCUAGGAAAGCUUGUAGUGAGAUAAAGUCUCUAAAAGAAAGUGGUGAUGAGAAAAAUGGAGAGCAUGAACUGGCCACUUCCCUUAUCUACAAUAUUUAGGAGAGACUCAAAGCAGAGUGACCCCAGUUGUAAAGGAAUGUAUUUAUAAAAUAUCUGGAGAAAUCCACCUGUGUACUUUGCAUGCAACCUCUCCCAUAUAUUCCCCCUCUUGGUAGACAUGAGGGAGUCCUCCAUCGUAUCCUGGCUCACCACCAUUGAGGAGUGAAUAAGUAAUAAAAUGUCCAAAACCUGUCCACUGAGUCCUCCAAGUUCUUUCUUUGGGUUUGGAAAACAGCACACCAGGGCAUUUGCAGCACCGGGGUUGAACAACAGGUAUGUUAUGAAUGUUCCUACUGUGCCAUCUGAAGAGCUAGUCAUAUUUUUAAUUUCUAGAACUCUUACUCCAUAGGGGACAAACCUGAAUAGUUUUCCAACUCUCUUCUUUUUUCCAUAAAAGAAUAUGUGUC
rnacentral:lncRNA from 1 species